CUACGGGCUGCACCAGUGGGGAAUAUUGGACAAUGGGCGCAAGCCUGAUCCAGCAAUGCCGCGUGAGUGAAGACGGCCUUAGGGUUGUAAAACUCUUUCGCUAGGGAAGAUAAUGACUGUACCUAGUAAAGAAGUCCCGGCUAACUCCGUGCCAGCAGCCGCGGUAAUACGGAGGGGACUAGCGUUGUUCGGAAUUACUGGCGUAAAGAGUUCGUAGGCGGACUGACAAGUUAGAGGUGAAAUCCCAGGGCUCAACCCUGGAACUGCCUUUAAAACUGUCAGUCUAGAGACCGGAAGAGGUUAGGGGAAUACCUAGUGUAGAGGUGAAAUUCGUAGAUAUUAGGUGGAACACCAGUGGCGAAGGCGCCUAACUGGUCCGGUACUGACGCUGAGGAACGAAAGCGUGGGAAGCAAACAGGAUUAGAUACCCCCGUAGUC
rnacentral:rRNA from 1 species